rnacentral:rRNA from 1 species
AUGCCUUCUGGAUGCCUGGCUGCGCUACUAGUAUUAAACUCCACCCAACAACUAAUCAACAACCACCCACGCACGCACGCACUGGUAAAGGGAAAAGAGACGUCGAAGAAGCGUGUUUUAGAUUUUAGGGAUCUGUUAGUUAUAAUGCCUGUUGGAAUUAUAGUGUCGUGGGGCAAACGUAUUUUAGAAUUUAGAGAGCAUUACAAUUCCUUGUGUCCCAUGGCGCGACGAGGACAUGCUAUGCUUGCUUUGAUGUCCAUCGUAAGGCAUUUUGGAAAAUGGGGGAUCCUUUUCUGGUAA